rnacentral:rRNA from 1 species
CCCAAAAAUAAACGUCCCAGUUCGGACUGCAGUCUGCAACUCGACUGUACGAAGCUGGAAUCGCUAGUAAUCGCGAAUCAGAAUGUUGCGGUGAAUACGUUCCCGGGUCUUGUACACACCGCCCGUCACACCAUGGGGGCCGGUAAUACCCGAAGUCAGUAGUCCAACCUCGUGAGGACGCUGCCGAAGGUAGGAUUGGCGACUGGGGUGAAGUCGUAACAAGGUAUC